CUUUCUCCGUUCACCACACCCUGCCGGUUUACCUAUUUUAUCUUGCCCUUUAUUAUUUAUUAAAAUUCCAUUUGAACCUUCCCUCGGCUUGUGUGUCUGCAUAUUUGGGUCUGUCUUGCAUCAGACAUAACAGAAGUUUCUCUGUCCACACAUCACAACAGCAUCUAGUGAGAAACCCAAACAGAAGAACGAGGGAGGAGGAGAGCCCUUCAAAUGGAUAUUACCACUGUGUUUACCUGUGGAAAAUGGAAAAGUGAGUUUAGAACUAUCUCUAGGAUCUUUACUGUACCUUCAGAACUGGAUAAAGAGCGCAGCAGAAGAUACAGCGGUUAUAAAAUAUGUUGGCAAGUUUCAUUGCACUUUGUCUUGAUCUUUGUCACAUAUCAACACCUGCACCUGUGCUCUGUGUGAAAAAGAGAAUGUGGAUUUGACUUUUCCCCACUUGUAUGGAGGAGCGCCAAAUCAAAAGUUAAUAGCUACAUUUCACUUGUCUUCAACUGUCCUUUUAAAGAAAAAUUCUCUUUUUGUAGUCUGAGUAUGGCAGUGAGAAAUAACAAACCAUAACUGAAUUCAAGCCCAUGUUUGUUUUUGUAUUUCUGCUAUAAUUAAAAGGUGGUGGUUCACUUUGGUCAGAUUGGUAAUAGUUAAGAUGAUAUAUGGAAACAUCCUGGUGUGACAUUAAAUAUUACCAUUUAGAGAAUGAAUGUGCUUCAGAAUGUUUUAGAUUUAGAAUUGCACCACAGGAGAGUGAAAUACUUGGUUAUGCAAAAGUGACUUUUUAAAUCUGAAAAUACAAUGCAAACUUAGUCAAACCUCUUAGCCAUGUGUAAAAAUACUCUACUGUACUGGUCUUCAUUGUUUUAAAGAGAGGUGGAAAUCAAUUGUGCAAAUCAAAAUCCUGCACCAGGUCAGAGACCCACUGGUACCUGCAGAAAACAACGUGGGUAAAUGUUUAAUAUUCACGGCUAU